GGCUUCGUAGCUCAGCUGGUAGAGCGCUUUUCGCGUUGAGGCAAGUUAUUUCUGUAGCUGGUUCGAAUACAGCCGAAGCCC
rnacentral:tRNA from 1 species